rnacentral:rRNA from 1 species
UACGUAGGGGGCGAGCGUUGUCCGGAUUCAUUGGGCGUAAAGCGCGCGUAGGCGGCUCCGCAAGUCGGCCGUGAAAUCUCCGGGCUCAACUCGGAGGGGUCGGGCGAGACUGCGGGGCUCGAGGUGGGCAGAGGGCAGUGGAAUUCCAGGUGUAGCGGUGAAAUGCGUAGAUAUCUGGAGGAAUACCGGUGGCGAAGGCGGCAUCCUGGACCAUUACUGACGCUGAGGCGCGAAAGCUAGGGGAGCAAACGGG